rnacentral:rRNA from 1 species
CGCGGCCUAUCAGCUUGUUGGUGGGGUAAUGGCCUACCAAGGCGACGACGGGUAGCCGGCCUGAGAGGGUGACCGGCCACACUGGGACUGAGACACGGCCCAGACUCCUACGGGAGGCAGCAGUGGGGAAUAUUGCACAAUGGGCGAAAGCCUGAUGCAGCGACGCCGCGUGAGGGAUGACGGCCUUCGGGUUGUAAACCUCUUUCGCCAGGGACGAAGCGCAAGUGACGGUACCUGGAUAAGAAGCACCGGCUAACUACGUGCCAGCAGCCGCGGUAAUACGUAGGGUGCAAGCGUUGUCCGGAUUUAUUGGGCGUAAAGAGCUCGUAGGCGGUUUGUCGCGUCGGCUGUGAAAUCUGGAGGCUUAACCUUCAGCGCGCAGUCGAUACGGGCAGACUUGAGUUCGGUAGGGGAGACUGGAAUUCCUGGUGUAGCGGUGAAAUGCGCAGAUAUCAGGAGGAACACCGGUGGCGAAGGCGGGUCUCUGGGCCGAUACUGACGCUGAGGAGCGAAAGUGUGGGGAGCGAACAGGAUUAGAUACCCUGGUAGUCCACACCGUAAACGUUGGGCGCUAGGUGUGGGACUCAUUCCACGAGUUCCGUGCCGCAGCUAACGCAUUAAGCGCCCCGCC